rnacentral:rRNA from 1 species
CACUCCUGCGGGAGGCAGCAGUGGGGAAUAUUGGACAAUGGGCGCAAGCCUGAUCCAGCCAUGCCGCGUGAGUGAUGAAGGCCCUAGGGUUGUAAAGCUCUUUCACCGGUGAAGAUAAUGACGGUAACCGGAGAAGAAGCCCCGGCUAACUUCGUGCCAGCAGCCGCGGUAAUACGAAGGGGGCUAGCGUUGUUCGGAUUUACUGGGCGUAAAGCGCACGUAGGCGGACUAUUAAGUCAGGGGUGAAAUCCCGGGGCUCAACCCCGGAACUGCCUUUGAUACUGGUAGUCUUGAGUUCGAGAGAGGUGAGUGGAAUUCCGAGUGUAGAGGUGAAAUACGUAGAUAUUCGGAGGAACACCAGUGGCGAAGGCGGCUCACUGGCUCGAUACUGACGCUGAGGUGCGAAAGCGUGGGGAGCAAACAGGGUUAGAAACCCUUGUAGUCCC